UAGCUGCAGUUCUGACUUGCAAUAUUCAAGUUCAAGCUUCCUUUUAUUUACUUGAUCCCUGAGAAAAUGAUAACUCCUCUCUAUGUUUUUACUUCGACCAUGACACAUAGGAUGAUUGGCUAGGUCGAUAGAUAAAUUGUCAUCUACAAACAACUUUAUUUUCUCAGGUUCCAUGAUCUUGAGCUUUUCCAUCAGCAUCUCUAUCCAUACUGCUUGACAUGUUGCAUAUGUUGCCGCCACAUACUCAGAUUCACACUGUGACAAUGAUUUGCUUUCUUGAGCUCUAACAGAUUAGAGCGCCUCCUAUCAGGAAUAUGUAGUCAACAAUACUCUUUUUCUCAUAUUGAUCUCCAUUAAAAUCUGAAUCAGUGUAACCAUGUACCUCUGCAUCUGUAGUGAUAAUCUUCUUCCUUGGCACCAACAAAACAUGGUUAAUCGUACCUUUGAUUUAUCUUAGCACUUUAUUGACGGCAAUGAGAUGACAUUCUUGGGGUUUCUCCAUGAAUCUGCUCAACAACCCGAAACCUACUUUGAUUAGGAAGCUAUCUAUUCUCUUAUUCCAAACUCUCGGGGCUUGCUUCAAUCCAUAUAUAGCCUUCCUCAAUAUGUACACCUUCUACUUUUGCCAUUUGGUUUUGAACCCUGGUGGUUAAGUGACAUAGACCUCUUUUUCUAAUGGUUUAUUGAGAAAUGUUGACUUUAUAUCUAAUUGGUGUAUCUUCCAUCCUUUUUAUGAUGCAGUCGAGACCAUAAUUUUGCUUGUCUAUGGCCUUGCAAGAGGUGCAUAGACUUCAUAAAAAUUAGUACUAAGUUUUUGUAUAAAGCUUCUUGAAACUAGUCUUGCCUUAUGCUUGGCAAUUUCAUUGUUUGGUCUUCGUUUUAACUUAUAUACCCACUUCAAAUUAAUUGGCUUCUUGCUUGAUCUUUUGACAAGCUCAUAGGUCUUGUUCUUCUUGAUUUCCCAGAGUUUUUCUUUCAUGACUACCAAAUAAUUCGAGUCAUUCAUGGCUUGAUCCAAAUUAAUUGGUUGUGAUUCAGCCAUCAUCAUUGCUUCUUCUAUGAGAUCACCAUAUGCAUUAAUUGCUUGAUCUGGAAAUCUCUCAUAUCUAGCUAGCCUUGUCGACUCAGUUCUUGUUCUAGCAGAUCAUCUAACUUUCUGCUCAAGUGGUUCUUCAUUUCGAGUGGUUGUGGCUUCAUCUUGCUAGUCUUCUUCAAGCACGGUUGGAAUUGUCUCUUGCUCAUAUCGAACUGGGUUCAGUACCACCAUUUUCUUUUGUCCACCAAAACAUCUCUAAUGAUCACUAGUUUAUUAUCAUUGGAUGAGUACAGCUUGUAUGCACCAGUUGAAUGAUUACCUAUGAGCACCAUCGCCUGACUUCUAUCAUCUAGCUUUUUCCUUAAUUUCUCAGAAACAAACUUAACUGCUUUCAUUAAUCAAAUAUGAAAUGAUAUAAGGAGGAAUCUCAUCAAACAUACAGCGUCGAGUCCAAAAAUUGGCCCCUUAGCUAAGGUAUGGGCAACCAUAUUCACUUGACGUUUUAUAAACUUAACCUCAAACUUAGGAAACUCUAGUAACAACAACUUAAUCGAUUUUAUAAUUGAAAUAAACUCCAAAUUACCAAUCGAAUUGGAACUAAUGGCUUUGACCACAUGUUGAGAAUCACUUUCAAAAAUCACUGGCUGGUUAUGAAGAUUAGAGGCUGCUUGGAUAGCUUCCUUAAUAGCUAAGGCCUCCGCCUCCAACACGGAAAAAGUGCAACUAUCUCAAGCAGUACCUGCAGCAAUAAAGUUACCAUGAUCGUUACGAAUACACCAACCUCGAUUCGUAGUCCCGACACGCUGAUUAAAGGCAGCAUCCACAUUACAUUUGAAACAACCAAUAGAAGGCGGAUUCCAAGUAACCAAAUCUCCGUUAUCUGAAUGCGUUUCCCGAAGAUUUUAAGCUAGAAACCAAUAUUGCCACUUAUGGAAGGCUACCCAACAAGCUUAGAUGCAUCUUCCUUUUCGUUGUGCCAAACAAAGUCAUUCCUAUUCUUACAUAAUCCUUCCAAUAUAAUCGCAACUCUCCACGCAGUUUUCCUAUCUUCCUUAGAACAAAUGUCAAGGAUAAGGGACCUGAUAUCAUGAUAAGUGUUAUAUCUUAUUUUUAUAUAGUAAUAAGAGUGUAUGUCAUCUUUUAACUUGAAAUCACUAUAGUUCCUAUAUGAGGAGUUGAUCACUUUAUUAUUAUUAUCAAAUAUUGUCGAUACAAGACAAUUGUAAAGUUGGUUGACUGGGUAGUGAAAGUCAUGUAGAGAAGCUUAGGUGACCAAUUUGGUCAUGAGUAAUAUUUAUGUGUCUAUUGGUUGAGUAUGACAGUAAAAUAGAUAGUCAUGCUGAGAUAAAUAAAUAUCAGAUAUUAAACUUAUUUAUUGUUAUUAAAUAUACUCGAUUCUCAAACAAUAAAAUAUAUAUAUAUAUAUAUAUAUAUAUAUAUAUAUAUAUAUAUAUAUAUAUAAAUAAAAGUCAGAAAUCAUUGACAUUAGGUAUAGGUCUAAAAGACUUGCACCAAUUCUUAUUAUGUAUGUAAUCAUUAUUUCGUAAAAAUUAUAUCCCAUUACAUGUCAUUUUUGUCACUUAUAUAGAAGUGAUUUGUUGCUAAACAUCAUUAGUAAUUUAAUACUAUUAUCAAUGUCACGAAAAUCAAAAGUCGACACACAUUUAUGGAUAGAUAAAAAAAAUUACAUAUAUGAAUGAGAUUCAUAUAUCAAACAUGUCAAAUUUGACUCAUAGAUAAUAUCAAGUGGGCAAGGGCGGGGCUGAAUACGAUUUAGAAGUAUUAUUAUAAUCUGAAUCAUUAGUAUUGUUAUAUAUGCUUGUAACAUUGAAAUUUUAAAGUGUGUAGUUUAGGCUGAAUUAAUAAGACGAACUAUAGCUGCAAACAUAAGCAAUUUAACUUAAUUGUAUGAAUAUAACUUUUGUGUGUUUUCUCUACUCUGAGCUGUAUUCGCAUAUCUGUUCCAACAAAACAUGAUUUUAUUAAUUAAAGAUACACGAGUCGGAAACAAAUUAAUCAAAAACUUAUUUUUAUUAGUAAGUAAUUAAAUAUAAUUUUAGUUAUCCUCUUUUUAGUCAAAUAUUAUUACAUUAAUUACUAUAUUAGUUAUUUUCCUUCACUUAUAUUUAAAUCUUAAUCCUCCAACACAUUUAACCCUUAGUUAAAAUUAGUGGAGCUACAAAACCUAGUUUAUGAAUUCCAUUAUGAUUAUGAACUUCGUUUAUCAAUUUUAAUAUCUUCAAUCUAAUCACAUUUUUAAUAAUUUUAAUAGUUUCUAAUUUUUCAUACAAAUCUUUGGUAUUACAUUUUAUUGUUUAUCUGUUGAUAUUUUAUAUGAAAUACUAUAUAUUUCUCUUCUAUAAAUAUUUAUAUGAAUAUGUAUUAUUUCCUAUAUCAAAAAUAAAAUAGAUAAUAAACCAUUAAACCCUACAUUUUUUUCAAUCAUGUUUCAACUUUUAAGAGACCCCUCAAACCAACAUUAUGCAGCACAAAUAAAGUAACCAAUUAUGUUCAUAUGGAAGAAGAUAUGUACGUGUGUGUGGGGGUUUGCUAGCUAAAGAUUGUUGCCACUUUAUGACAAUCACGUGUCUAACUAACAUUGGUGUCAUUUCUGGUUAGAAUCCCACUACGUUUCUAUUGGAAACAAGACCCUAACAUGUAUGUACAAGAGGCUAUAAUAGAGGGACUUUUUAAGUGCAUUGAUAUGAGCUUGACACAAAAACAAGAAUAUGUUCCCUAUAGCCUCAUCCAUUUUGCCAAUCAAAUCAUCAAACAGAAUACUACAAUCUAAUUACCAAGAAAUUGAUCUCAUAAGCAAGAAACCAAGAGAAUCAUGAUGUCCUCGUACGUUAGGAGGACGUGUUUAACUACUAAUGUUUUUUAUUUAGGGCUAAUCGAACCAUGCACUUUUGUUGAUAAAUAAUUAAAAUGAGGUUCCUAGACAGGUGGAUGGUAUAUGAUCUGUGUUAGAUUUUAUUAAUCCCCCACGGGGCUUGUUGUGGUGACAACGUGACACUACAAAGACAUGGAAUUAUUCAAUAUAAAUGUACUAUUUUUUUUUUUUAGUUUUUCACAUAUUCAAAAUCCACUAGAGUUAAUUUAGAAAAUUUCUUUACCCACCUCUCUAUGGGUGGUCACCUCCUGCGAAAAACCAAAACUACCCCUGUUUCGGAAGUUCAUUUUCGAAAGCGUGUUUUUUAAAAAAAUUGACUUACUUCGGAAGUUCAUUUCCGAAACAAUUAUUUCGGAAGUUCACUUCCGAAAUACUGCGAUUUCUGCAGAUUUAUCAAAACACUCCCCCUCCCCCAAUCAUUUACCCUAAAUCAAAACAAAAAGUGGCAGAGGCGAAAAUUUGUGCAAACAGAAUUCCAAAGCUGCAUCAAGGCUCCAAUCACACUGUUAAACAACAUUCAAAAGCCCUCAAUCCUAACACUUUGAACAUGUCUUCUAGAGAGGGCGCUAAGGGAAGAAAGGAUUCUUCAAAGAAAGAGGUGAAAGAGGUGAAGGAGGUGAAGGAGAAGAAGAAGGUUUCGACCGGCUCUACUUCUCGUUCCCAGGGGACCCGGGGCCCGGAUGCUCAAGCUCAGUCUUCAGGCGUGAGAGUCGUGAUCAACGCUGAUGGUUCUGAGACUGAGUGGGAUGAGGAUUGGUAUAAUUAUCUUCAUUCGGAGGAGUUCGCUCGUCGGGAAGAAUAACGUGUUUUUUUUUGUUUGAUGUGUAUUUUGUAACGCUCGUCGGGCAGAAUAACAUGUUUUUGUUUUGUUUUGUUCUGAUUUCGGAUUGUAUCGCACAGUGUAUUUGUAUUGGAUUUAUCAUGUUAGUUUUUGAAAGUGGUAACCGGGGUCGGAACAUAUGACUGAUGAGGUGGAUGUCUGGAGGAAGUAGAACUGGAGAUACGUCCACCACGAGACAAAGUAGCCAAUCAAUGUAAGCUAUAGUUUAUGAUUAUCA